GACGAACGCUGGCGGCGUGCUUAACACAUGCAAGUCGAGCGGUAAGGCCCUUUCGGGGGUACACGAGCGGCGAACGGGUGAGUAACACGUGGGUGACCUGCCCUCAGCUCUGGGAUAAGCCUGGGAAACCGGGUCUAAUACUGGAUAUGACUCCAUGACGCAUGUUGUGGGGUGGAAAGCCUUGUGCGGCUGAGGAUGGGCCCGCGGCCUAUCAGCUUGUUGGUGGGGUGAUGGCCUACCAAGGCGACGACGGGUAGCCGGCCUGAGAGGGCGACCGGCCACACUGGGACUGAGACACGGCCCAGACUCCUACGGGAGGCAGCAGUGGGGAAUCCUGCGCAAUGGGCGAAAGCCUGACGCAGCGACGCCGCGUGAGGGAUGACGGCCU
rnacentral:rRNA from 1 species